AUAAAACAACAGACAGCGCUUUUCCGUCUCUUGAGUGCAAGAUAAAGAAGAACGAUGGUGGGCUUUCACAGGAAUACGAUGAAUCCUGACCAUCACGGUGUCUGCAUUGACGGUACAAUACAGGUCAAAGGGAUGAGCUACUCUAUGAAGAACAAGUGGACCUCUUGAAGGCUUGGAGCAUCUGGGCCGACCCGUGAGAUGCUGUAUGCAAACCAGUGGACUUUCUGGAGGUUUGCAGUUUCUUAACAAACUGGGUUGAAUAUGAGCAAUGGACCUUCUGGAGUUGUUAUACAUAUUGAAGUGGAUGGUUUCGUAACAAAUCUGCCGAUGACGCGUCAGUGUGGUGUUGCCCCAAUCAAAGUCGUCUGGGAAGUGUUGUCAAGGUGUGAACCAAUUAGUCAUUUUUUUUGAAGGACCUGUUCUGAUCAAUGAUGACACCUUACUGUGUGACUGUUGGAUGAAACCUGCGGAUAUGGGACUUAGAUCACAGCUACUCUAAAACUGCUAUGAUGGGGCAUAUGAGGACACUAACUUGUAUUUUAUUCUAAGGCCUUGCAACUGGUGACAUGCGUGACAGCAUUGUCAAAUUCCACAUCACAACACGAUGCACGCCGGUACUCGUGUGUAGGUAUGUAGUUGACUAGUUCCUGACUCCUCGACAGGUUGUUCUGAUCAAUGAUUGAUAACAAAACUUGAAAUUGUGACUGUUGGAUGAAACAUGCGGAUAUGGGACUGAGAUCAGGACUCAUGGCAAGUAGUGACAUUUGGAUGAGUCUUCUGGAACUAAAAUCAUACCCCUGUAUUUCUGUUUUGUUAUUAGAUGUGCUAAGAUGGCUGAAGACCAGUCUGGACCAAGGGCUUUCUGGCCUGCCCCUUCAGUUAGAAGAAACCCAACGAGUCUAUUUUAAAUAAACUCUCAAAACCUUGAA
ensembl:lncRNA